rnacentral:rRNA from 1 species
UACGUAGGUGGCAAGCGUUGUCCGGAAUUAUUGGGCGUAAAGCGCGCGCAGGCGGUCCUUUAAGUCUGAUGUGAAAGCCCACGGCUCAACCGUGGAGGGUCAUUGGAAACUGGGAGACUUGAGUGCAGAAGAGGAAAGUGGAAUUCCAUGUGUAGCGGUGAAAUGCGUAGAGAUAUGGAGGAACACCAGUGGCGAAGGCGACUUUCUGGUCUAUAACUGACACUGAGGCGCGAAAGCGUGGGGAGCAAACAGG